UAAGUAAGCUAGAUAGUUGCCUCGAUUAUAAUCGAGGAGGAAAGUCCGGGCAUCAUAAUCCGCCUUUGCGCUACGCGCUACGGCGAGAUAAAAAAGACAGUGGGUAACGCCCACCGUUCGUGAGAAUAGGGAAAGUGCCACAGAGACAAUGUUUCUCCUCUUUACCCCUCACCUUACUAAUUUUAAGGUGAAUGGGUAGCUCCUUAUCUUUAAUAAGGUGAGGGGUUUAGGGGUAAUCUCCUAAAGCGGGGUAAAAGUGAAAAGUGAGGGCCUAAGAAUCCUCUUCCCGCAGGGAAACCUGUCGGGAUGGUAAACCCUGUCUGAUGCAAGAGCAAAGUUCAUCUUUGGAUGAAUUAAAAGUAGCUCGCUUGAGCUUAAUAGUAAUAUUAGGCCUAGAUAAAUAACUAUCAUCCAUUUUAUAUGGAAUACAGAACCCGGCUUAUUGCUUACUUGGGUU
rnacentral:RNase_P_RNA from 1 species